AUACGGAGGGUGCAAGCGUUAUUCGGAAUCACUGGGCGUAAAGGACGCGUAGGCGGGUUGGCAAGUCAGAUGUGAAAUCCUACAGCUUAACUGUAGAACUGCAUUUGAAACUGCUAACCUAGAGUAUGGGAGGGGGAGAUGGAAUUAGUGGUGUAGGGGUAAAAUCCGUAGAUAUCACUAGGAAUACCGAAAGCGAAGGCGAUCUCCUGGAACAUAAAUGACGCUAAGGCGUGAAAGCGUGGGGAGCAAACAGGAUUAGAAACCCUUGUAGUCC
rnacentral:rRNA from 1 species